rnacentral:rRNA from 1 species
CCCGAAAGAUUCGAAGGGGGGAGAUUCAUCGCUAUUUGCGUGGUCGGCUUCUGCGAUUGGGUGUGAUGUGGCGUCGCUGCGUGUGUCGGGUCUUCGGAUUCGAUUCACGCGCUUGCGUGGAUGAGCCCGGCUGCGUUGGCGUGCACUUCUCCUCCUUAGUAGAACGUCGCGACCCGCUGGGUGUCGUUUGAAGGGGCUUGUUUGGUGUCUUCGGUGUCGAGGCUUCGGUCUCAAUCCGGAACCGGCUUGCUCUGGAUCGACUGCCCGGCGGUAUGCUAUACGGUAUCGAGCCGCAGAGAGAUCUGCGUUCUGACCCUCGACCGGUUGCCUCGGUAGCCCGGAAAGUCGGUUGUGACCGUCUCCGGAGCCGGGUGACUUGGCUCUUGCGUGUCUCGAACAGGCUCCCAUUGGCCGUGGGGUGCUUCGGCACCUCCGGGAUACUCGUCAGCGACGCUAUUGCUUCGGGUACCCUCGGGACCCGUCUUGAAACACGGACCAAGGAGUCUAACAUGUGCGCGAGUCAAUGGGCUUGAUAACCCCAAAGGCGAAUUGAAAGAGAAGACUGUGUGCGCGCUUUCGGGCGCGCUCCUGUCAAGGGAGAUGGGCCGCGUAAAUGCUCGCGGACCCGCACUCCCAGGGCGUCUCGUGCUCAUUGCGAGCUGAGGCGCACCUUGAGCGCACAUGUUGGGACCCGAAAGAUGGUGAACUAUGCCUGGCCAGGUCGAAGCCAGGGGAAACCCUGGUGGAGGACCGUAGCGAUUCUGACGUGCAAAUCGAUCGUCGGAGCUGGGUAUAG